UUUACCAGAGUACUAUGAAUUUUUCAAAAUUUAAAACUCAAAGAACUUGGCGGUGUUUUAGACCACUUAGGGGAACCUGUCUCAUAAUCGACGAUCCACGUUUUACCUGACCCUUUUUUGUUUUCAGCCUGUAUACCGUUGUCGUCAGGUAACUUUUUAGAAUUUAAAAGUUAGCUAUAUAAAGUAUAAUUUAGUACGUCAAAUCAAGGUGCAGCUUAUAAUAGGGGGAGGAUGGGUUACAAUUAUUUAUUUAUAAUUUACGGAAUAUUGUGUGAAUUAGCGAUAUAAAGGAGGACUUGAAAGUAAAUUGGAUUAUAUAAGCAAUUUGAAUAAGGCUCUGAAACGUGU
rnacentral:rRNA from 1 species